AGCUAUUUAAUUAAAUUUUGAAUAGCCUGAGCUUUAUAAAUUAUACAGAGACAAAACAAUAUUCAAUUUGAUACAUGCAAAAAAGAAAAAAUAUGACUGGUAUUGCCAAAUUUGUUUAUGUUAAUAUUAUCUUUCUUUCUAUAUUUUUAUUUGCAACAAUCGUUGAAGGUAAACAAUUUCUUUAUCUUUUCCAAAAAAAAAUCAUUUCUUCUUACACAACAUUUUAUCACAUUUUUGUAACCAUGUUUUUCUUUAAUUUUUUUCCAUUACAGGUGAUAUUAGAUGUUUUCAAAAUUCUGAAUGUCCAAUAUUAAUGUGUCCCCCUGGUUUGUUGCCAAGGUGUAUUUAUGGACAUUGUGUAUGUGUUAAAUUGAUGUUAUAGAUUAUAUGAGCAAAAAUCUAAAAGAGUGCAAAAAUGUUACACUAAAAUAUUCUAUGAGCUAUUAUUUAACCAUUAUGUUGACAUUCAACCAUUAUUUUUCUUCUAAUUUCACAUACCUUAUAGUUAUGUUGUUGUACACUAAGACGAUGAUAAUGAAAUAAAUAAGGCGGAAAAUAUAUUCUCUAGAGAAUCAA
rnacentral:lncRNA from 1 species